UCUGCCUUAUCGGCAAGCGGUCCCAUUAGAGUGCCCAACUUAAUGCUGGCAACUAAUGGCAAGGGUUGCGCUCGUUGCGGGACUUAACCCAACAUCUCACGACACGAGCUGACGACAGCCAUGCAGCACCUGUAUCGACGUCCCUUGCGGGAACUCCUACUUUCAUAGGAUAGCGUCGUAUGUCAAGCCCAGGUGAGGUUCUUCGCGUUGCCUCGAAUUAAACCACAUACUCCACCGCUUGUGCGGGCCCCCGUCAAUUUCUUUGAGUUUUAACCUUGCGGCCGUAAUCCCCAGGCGGGUCACUUAACGCGUUAGCUACGACACCGGAAGGGUAAGUUCUCCCGACAUCUAGUGACCAUCGUUUACAGCGUGGACUAC
rnacentral:misc_RNA from 1 species